rnacentral:tRNA from 1 species
GUCGGAUUGGCCGAGCGGUCUAAGGCGCCAGAUUUAAGCUCUGGUUUCCUAAGGGGAGCGUGGGUUCGAACCGCACAUCUGACA